UACAAGGCUGAAGUAUUGUUAAGUUCUUACUCUUUACAAAGAACCAACAAGUUAGUGAAUAAAUUGUCUGAUGAAGACGAUGAUUUUUUUUUAGAUGGUAAGCUCAAGCAAAAAGUGACUGUUUGUGAAAAUUCUGUAUAUGCAGAUGUUAUUGUGGACCAAAAAGAAAAAACAAAAUUAUUUACAGCGGAGCA
rnacentral:lncRNA from 1 species